AACGAACGCUGGCGGCAUGCCUAACACAUGCAAGUCGAACGAGACCUUCGGGUCUAGUGGCGCACGGGUGCGUAACGCGUGGGAACCUGCCCUUAGGUUCGGAAUAACUCCCCGAAAGGGGUGCUAAUACCGGAUAAUGUCUUCGGACCAAAGAUUUAUCGCCUUUGGAUGGGCCCGCGUUGGAUUAGCUAGUUGGUAGGGUAAAAGCCCACCAAGGCGACGAUCCAUAGCUGGUCUGAGAGGAUGAUCAGCCACACUGGGACUGAGACACGGCCCAGACUCCUACGGGAGGCAGCAGUGGGGAAUAUUGGACAAUGGGCGAAAGCCUGAUCCGGCAAUGCCGCGUGAGUGAUGAAGGCCUUAGGGUUGUAAAGCUCUUUUACCCGGGAUGAUAAUGACAGUACCGGGAGAAUAAGCUCCGGCUAACUCCGUG
rnacentral:rRNA from 1 species